CAUCGUUCUUUCUCUAGAAAAUCUGAAGAAAAAAAAAUCUCGCCAUUAUCUGCUCAGUUGGGCACCCAUCUCCAUACAACCCUUUCAUUUGCCUCAACCCUCUCUCUCUUCUUCAUGGCUCUCAUAAACGCAAAAUCCUUCUGUCUCUUAGAAAUUCAGCCACCUCCUCUCUCGGAUCUCUGCCCUCGCAGCCCUUUCAUGUCUCAAAUCGUCUCUGCCUGCAACUGAACAACGUACCUCCCCGCAGUGUUGACUAGCCCAUCCGUGGUAGAAAUCGGAAACACUGACAGCCAAAGCUGUGUGAGGACCCCCAAUAAUUUCAAAUCCGAGACAACAACACAAGAACAACACCCUGAAUCGCCAUCUCUUAUCAACAAAAUCAUGUCUUCCAAGCCUCAAGUCAUCACAAAUUCGAGUGCCAUUCAUGUAGAUGGAGACCAUUUUGCACAUGCAACGGUGUCCGAGAUGCACAAAGAGACGGAAGAGACAGACUCGAAAAGCUCCUAAAUUCACGGAUCUGCAAAUUUUUAGCGUACAACCGAGAGGAAACAACCUUGAGCUUCUAGUCCAAUGAUCCCUGAAGGCAAAAUAAACGGCAAAUGUCUCGGCCUCUGCAAAUAAAGAAGGGGUAUACGGAUCCAUGAUAGAGCCAAGGAAAUAGAAGUAAACACACAAGCUCAACGGAUGAAAACAGCACAGGCCGCAUGACCCAGAUCGGUGCAUCUGGGAGGUGCACUGUCCGUUACCGCCGCUAAAAUUUUCUGAUCAGUAAGCAGCUGUCCUAUAAUUAGAUUUGUCAGAGUAUUCAUGCAUUCUUGCUGCUUAGCGGGUUGCCUUGGAGUCUCGGGAGAGUGCAUGAGUGGCACACAGACUUUUGUAGGAGCAGAUUCUAUGGAAAUUUCAAGGUCAUCAGGGGCUGUUUCCUCCUUUGGGCGUGAAUAACAGGCAGAUGUCUCCUCGGUUCCUGCACCAACCUCUUGAUCAUCAUAGCUUCUCCCACGGUUUACUGCUUGAAUUUGAAAUCCUUGAUUGGUUAUUUCUAUGUACAAUUCAGUUGAUUCCAACAAUUUAGAUAGUUUGUCCUCCACCGAAAGCUCUUGUGGCACAUUAAGCCGUUCAAAAUACUGCCCAAGAUGCCGUUUCAAACUUUGAGUGUAGAACUCUGAAUGGGGAUUGUUCCAGUUCCAUUUUGAAUUGUUUCUCAUAUUUGUAUACUCCUGGACAUAAUCUGGAAAAUAUUCUCUCUCA